GCGGAUAUGGCGGAAUGGCAGACGCGCCGGAUUUAGGUUCCGGUGGGGUAUCCUGUGCAGGUUCAACUCCUGUUAUCCGCA
rnacentral:tRNA from 1 species